rnacentral:rRNA from 1 species
AGAGUUUGAUUAUGGCUCAGAACGAACGCUGGCGGCGUGGCUAAGGCAUGCAAGUCGAACGGACGUACCUGGAAGGAAACGGAAGGGUACGUUAGUGGCGGACGGGUGAGGAAUACAUGAACGACGUACCCUGGACACGGGGAUAGCGGCGUCCCGCUUGUCGGGACAUUAGCGAAAGUGCCGGUAAUGCCCGAUGACCCCAUCGGAUCGCAUGGUCCGGUGGGCAAAGGCUCCGACGGUCCGGGAGCGGUUCAUGCCCUAUCAGCUUGUUGGUGAGGUAACGGCUCACCAAGGCAGCAACGGGUAUCGGGCGUGAGAGCGUGGCCCGACACAUCGGAACUGAGACACGGUCCGGACACCUACGGGUGGCUGCAGCAACGAAUAUUCCGCAAUGGGCGAAAGCCUGAAGGAGCGACGCCGCGUGCAGGAAGAAGUUCUUCGGGAUGUAAACUGCUGUCGGGGGUUAGGAAUAAAUGACCAGCCCCAAAGGAAGCACUGGCUAACUCCGUGCCAGCAGCCGCGGUAAUACGGAGAGUGCAAGCGUUGUUCGGAAUUACUGGGCUUAAAGCGCGUGUAGGCGGAGCAUCAGGUGCCGUGUGAAAGCCCCGGUCUCAACCCGGGAAUGGCUCGGCAAACCGGUGCUCUUGAGGCAGGUAGAGGCGACUGGAACGACUGGUGGAGCGGUGAAAUGCGUAGAUAUCAGUUGGAACGCCGGAGGCGAAAGCGGGUCGCUGGACCUGUCCUGACGCUGAGACGCGAAAGCGUGGGUAGCGAACAGGAUUAGAUACCCUGGUAGUCCACGCCGUAAACGAUGCGCACUAGGUAUGAGAGGUACUGACGCCGAUCGUGCCG